CUUCAUUUAUGUCUAUGCCAGUCAGUUCUUUGUAGUUAUUAGUCAAAUCUCUUCUGGGCAAUUUGUGUUUACAGAAAUGUCAUCUCUGGUUCCAUGUAAUUUUAUUAUAGCUCUGCCAAAGGGGGGACCAUUGGUCCAUCACCCUACAGAGGCCAUGCAGGUAGCCCAUCACCGUACAGCCUCAACACCUCUGGUCCAUCACCUGGUGGAGGCCAUACACCCAGCCCAUCACUGUACAGCCUCAACACCCCUGGUCCAUCACCUGGUGGAGGCCAUACACCCAGUCCAUCACUGUACAGCCUCAACACCUCCGGUCCAUCACCUGGUGGAGGCCAUACACCCAGCCAGCAAGAAAAUGCAUGGACACCAUGUCAGGAUUGUAAGGGGGAGUUUGAAAGAAUCCUACAGGAAAAGGGAAGGAUCGAUGAAGUCAUCUCGAGAAUAGAUCCAGGCCAGGUCAGAGAGCUUCAGACUCUCUGCGACUUAAUUGGAGAGAGAUAUUGUGGCAGCCCAGCUUCACCAUCAGGCCAGCAGGAGCUGUUUCCUGGGAGCGGCAUAUUCAUCUCAUCAUUCCGCCUGGCUGCCAUGAAUCACGCAUCAAAACCAAAUUGCAUGCGUCUGUUUCAUGCACUUUUUGAUCAUUUCUUCACUGUUGAGGAGUGUCAAAAUGCAGUGCCCUUUGGUCGCCCUGGCAACAACCCCUCAGGAAAGGAAGGAAAGCAGGUCCUUGACCGUAAAAAAGUUGACGGAAUCCUAACUUAUGUCCUGAGAUGUGCAACUCUACCGGACUGGGAACCAAUUGAGGAGGCCAAGCUCAAGAGAGCCUUUGUGAACAAAUGUAGGGCCAGAGCAGGCUCCAAGGAGUAGGCCACUGAUAUAGCCUGUCCUAUGUGGACCGCUAUCUCUCUCUCUCUACCCCUUCUUUUAUUUUUUAUUUUUUCUUUUAUUUUUUAUUCAUUUUCAUGGUAAUAUGUUAAUAUAGUUAGUAGUAGUAGGCAACGGGACCACCAGACCGGUAAUGACCAUGGCAAAUUCACAUACGGUAGUCUACUGCCGGCAACAGCACCGAUCGGGUCAGAAUGAACACCAUCAACGACAACGACUCCUAUUGGCUGCUCCCAUUCACCUCCGGUUCAACCUCGGAGUUGGUACAUUCCCUUUCCGGUUGUUGAUAUUUGUAAAUUUGUCUUGGUGUUUGUAAAAGUGUGUUCUUGGUAAUUUGUUUUCUGAAAUUUAAAUUUGUUUCGGGACUUGUAAAUGUGUUAUGGUAAUGUAAUUUGUUUUAUGAUAUGUAAAAAUGUUUUAUAAAAUUUAAAUUGGUCUCAAGCUCUGUAAAAGUGUUUCAGAUUUUGUAAUGUUAGUUUGCACCUCCAGGCCACCGUACUUUUCAUGUGUGUGUGAGCCAAACAUUAUUGUUCCAUGUGCUAGUCAGUGUUUUAUUUUUACAAUCUGGAAGUGUUGUACUGUACUAGUGAUGUCCCCACACUCUAGCACCUACAUCUGAGGAGUGAGCUGAGUUGGUACAAGUGUGCCUUACUAUAGUUAGCAUUCUAACCAAACCCUGUAAUCUUUUCAUGUUGGUUUGCACCUCCAGGCCACCAUACUUUUCAUGUGUGAGCCUAACAUUGUUGUUCCACGUAUCCCACGUUCCACUUGCUGGUCAGUGUUUUUUGUCUUAAAGUGUUGUACUGGUGUUACACAAAUACAGUUUUCAACUUUUCAAUAUCGAGUAUUGUUUAUACAGUUAUUUCUAAUUAAUAAAGAUAAUUAAUCUUUAAAUUGCAUUCUCAAUUUGUUCUUGUAUUUCUCAAAUAUACCUCAGAUAUUCUCAUAUAUAGCUUCAGUAAGAC
ensembl:lncRNA